GAAAACUGAGUUUGUGAAGGGGUAGACAUACAGCUACACAGUUACUCACCUGGCAUUUCAGAAGGCUGGUUGCAGUUUUCCAAGAACAAAUCCCAAGAAGUUUCAUGGUGAAAUAAACAGAAAUCUGCAAGUAAUACUUUGCCCUCCACUUGUCUCUCGAAUGGCGCCUGCUACUGCAUCAAAAGAAUGGAGGCCGCCAGGCAGCUUCCUGCAGCUCCUGCCUCCCAUUCACGCAGUCCUUCUGCCCACGUGGAAGGGAGCCACACAGCCACUUCUCCUUUGUCUGACCUCUGUGCAUCAUCCCCCAGUUCAAUGGCUAUUUAAAGAAGGAGAUGCUAGCGGGAACAUAAACCUCUUACAUUAAAAUUCGCCUCUUGCUUCUCC